GUAACCCACUGAGCCACAGUGGGAACUCCUUCCAGGUAUUAUUACUUGUCCUUUCUUAUGUACCAAGAUAACUGUUGUCACUCUUUGUGGUCCACACCAGGGACCUCAAAUACAUCAGGUUCUUUUUCCUAUUCUAAAAUGAGGUUGAAGAUUUCGCGUUGCAUGGUUUGCCCCAAAUUGUAGCAGGUAACAGGGCUGUGAUUCAAAACCGGCCCUGGGCCUGGGCCUGGAACCUGGAUUUUCUCUACUGUGUUGAGCCUUCCAGCCAUCCCAGGUGCAGCUGGGCAAAGCUCACUUAAUCCACUCAGUCCUACAUGCCUUAAAGCUGAGCACCCAGAACCCCCCAUACUCCCGCCCAGCCCACACUCUCCGGGACCACCAAGACUCAGGCAACAUGAGCCCUGCUUCACUGUUCCUCUAAAUACCAACCAGAGAAAAGCCACCGAACAAGGGGGCAGACGAUGCUCGGAAGCUGCAGGAGGCGACUGCCUCAGGAAGAGUGCCUGUUAGCACACAGAAGCAUCACCUGUUCCCACAACAGGGAACCGACCGUGCCUGAGUCACCAAGCUUACAGCCAAAUGACAGGCUGGAAAAAGAAAUCAACAAAACCUUCACGUCCGAGCAUGGAAUACUGGUUUCCCUGAUAACCUGCUGAGCAUGACUCAAAGCGGGGAAGCCGGAGAAGAGAGCUGGUCUCCCAGUGAGCCAGCUUCAUGUCGGGUCUUUUCCAAGAAGGCUCUUCAUCUCAGCCAAGCUCACGGAGGGGAGUCAGGGUGAGAGCACAGAGCCUCCCUCACCAACAGUAACAGCCAUAACUGUGGUCUGAGGAAAAAACAAAGGCAAAAAGAAUAGAGAGGAGAUCAGAGGGGAUGGUCUCAAACCGGGGUGGGACUUCCUCCGGAAGGCACUCAGAUCCUGGCUGCGAGUAUCUUUUCAAAUUCUCCAAAACUGCUCCCCCAGGUUUUCUGUAUCAGUCGAAAAUUACCUUCAGCUUCUAAAGCAGUUAGACUUAAGUGAUUGUAAAUAAAAGAUACAAACUGCUUAUGUUCUACACUGAGUCAAUGUAUCACACAUCCCAGAUCAAAAGCCACUGCCCUGAGUCCAGCUU